GUGUGCUUGCUGUGAGAAGAAUAAAGAAAAAAAAAAAGGGGGGGGGGGGGGGGAGGCAAAAGGCAUCGUCAAGGUUGCCUGCAAAAAGUAUGGAAUGCUUUCCCGCAAAAACAGUAUGCCUGUGGUAAAGAGAGCUUCCAAGAAAGGGUUCCUCUGCUCGUCGGGUAUGGGUUCGUAAGAAGGAAACAGAUAAAGAAGAAGAAGAAAAAAAAGUGGGUGCAUUUCCGUGCUCGCGUAAAUGCCCAUGUGAGAUUGGCAGCUAUGCGUCUGCAUAAUUCGGUGGCCUCAAAAAACACCGCUGUGUCUGCCUUUACCCCAAGAGCCGUCGUCGGGCGCAUCUCGAUCCACAUUCCAAUGACAAUCUGCAUAUGGCAAAAAGCCGUUCCGUUUAUAUCUAUAUGCCUGCGCGGCGUUAUCGCACUAAUCACGGCUACAACAACGCGCCUACAAGGCUUGCUUUGUCGGGCUCUCUCACUCGUCUUCUUUCACUUUUCGCAGGUGGCGGUGAACAUACACAUCCCACUAUGCCCGCAGUGGGGGCUGUCGAAAAUUCCACACUAUUUGUAAUCAAUGGUCGCAUGAACAGUAUAAGAAAGCAGUGCUACUAUUGCUCUAGUGCUUGGUACAAGGAAGGUAGAAAAAAAAGAGCAGAUGUUUACUUCAAAUUGAAAUACUAGGUAACAUAAAGGCCUAUUACCCUCUCAAGCAAACGAAAUUACCGUCCUACGUGUAUUGCAAGUCUGUGCUGCAUAGUAUGUGAUAUGUGAUUGACUGAGUGAGAGAAUAAGUGAACACAAGAAAAAAAAAAGAAAACAAGCGUUCGUCUUUCACAACUGACUUUUAGCUCGCUAAGGUUCAAUGUAUGAGAUCAAAAAGUCCAUUAAAAGCUACGAAUAAACUGCUUUAUCACAAAAACAGACAACGCAGGCGAGCCUACAGGGCACGCAGUGCAAGAAUGUAAAACGGUGCAGUCAACAAUAUUUCAAGCACGGUUCAAACAUCUCAUUAUUGACUUAUAUAUGUUGCAAGGAUUGAAGUGGCACAAAAUUGAGAGAGAGCAAGCACGUGACGAGGGGGUCAAAGGUCAGUUACAGCAGGGGAGAAAGUACUCGCAGAAUUAUGGUGAACAGGAAAGCUUGCAACUGCCACAACACUUCAGUGAAUGUUUCAAAAGCAUAAAACUACAAAGAUACUUUGCCAGUGAACAUACUAUGAGAAGUUUAACAGCUUUGAGCUCCCGAAAGCACCUCGUUUAGAGGGUUUGUGAACGGUCUGAAGAUGACGCUUUAUGCCGUAAUGGUUUUCUCAAAAGUUACGACCUCUUGAGAUGGUUACCUUAUGAACAAAAAAGUAUGGAGGCACAAAGCUGAACCAGUAUUAUUGGUGAGAUCUAGUGCAACAAAUGUACACUUAAGAUUAAAACCUUGGCUUUGCAUUGCAUGAGAUCGUUCUUUUUUUUUUCUUUGCUAGCUCCAAAUGGCACAUGAUGCAGAUAAGUACGCUUUAAGACAACUAGGAGAAAGAGUGAGUGCACUAGCUACUGCAUAAUGCUGACUCAUACCCACUGGUUCCUUAAAAUAGCGUAACACAUACGCCACAUUCUUGGUAGGCACAAGUAAAAUUAGUAUGACGUUGCCACUGUGACAAAUUAGAAACAGAGACUAGAAUAGCAACACCUUUUUUUUCUUCUGCAAUCAGCAUUUGCCUUGGAGGGGUCAGUAUGACGUUGCUCUAGCACCAUAAAAAACAAACUACACAUGGUCCUCAUCUGCAGACUUCUGGUUUGAGUGCACACUACAAUGACAAGGCAUACACCUGGGCCAAAUUUGGGGCUCGCAUUAUCUGCUGACACAACACACAACACAGGGAUGCUUGGAAGUUGGUACAGCAAACAAAGCGUAUCCUAAGGAAACUAGUUUUCAGCGAUGCUAGUUUUUAGACUAACCAGAAGUUUCGAUUUCUUAUACUUAGGAGAAGCACUAAGUAUUCUGCAAAGAAAAGCAGCUUGAUGAA
rnacentral:lncRNA from 1 species